CUUCAUCAAAAUCAAUACCAAAAAACCUUUGCAGAGUAGACUAUAAAUUUAGAGAAAACUGCCCAGCAUUAUGAGCAUGUGAGUCAUUCAGUUAAUGUUGCUAUACUGAGCAAAAACAGAUUUCCUGAUGCAUCUACACAGAGGAGAAAGUCAGAUUCAAUUAGUUCUGGGAAAAUGGUCAUCCUCAAGAGAAAUACAUAACUUCCCAUAAUAAAUAUAUUUCCUGACAUUUGGAAAAGCACUAAAAAAGGAGGAAAAAUAAGAGAUUUGGAAGAUAUCACUAAAAUCUGUAAGGGUAUUUUGGUGAAAAGUGUUGAGGGAAAAUGAUAGUUGCUUGCAUGUUAAUAUUAUAAUACUUUGGUUAAAAUAUUAUACAGUAGGUAUGUUACCAUCAAAAUUUUAGAAGGAAAUUAUACCCUAAAUUCUCCCUGUAUUUCACAUAUAACCUCAUUCUACCCCCUACCACACAUAGAGCAAAACAUUUUCCUGUGAUUUCAUCAACACAUAAGAUACCAACAGCUUUAUCCUAGAGGCAUAUCUACUAGGUUGCCACAGAGCUCUGUGCAGGUCAUGUCUGCCCAGCUCUCAUGUGUCCUUUGCCACCCUGGUGGUGAGCAGGUACCAAUCUACCAACUCAGCAAACUUGCCAGUGUGAAUUAACCCAGACUUUUUUUCAGGAUAUUUACCAAUCUAGUGCUUUAUUUAUCUUUAUUUUUAAAUUUUUUAUUAUAGUUGCUUUGCAAUGUUCUGUCCAUUUCUUCUGUAUAGCAAAGUGAUCCAGUCAUAUACACAUUCUUUUUCUCAUAUUAUUCUCCAUCAUGUUCCACCACAAGUGACUAGAUAUAGUUCCCUGUGCUUAUUCACUCUAACCCACACUCAUAAGAAACAAAAUCAAACUCAAAUUCUUCUACAGGGUUCUUAUUUUAGGUCUAAGGAUAUAAUCUACAAUUCAUUAUAAUGUAGUAAAAGACACUGCAAACGAGAAUUCAGGCCAGUUGGGCUGGCAACACUCUUUCUAAAUUUCCUACUACUAACUUUUAUUUACUUAACUUCAGCAUUUUUAUCCUUUACUCAUGUUUCAAUUAACUCAUACCUUUCAAUAUAUUCCUACUCCCAACUUUUACUUCCUUAACUUCCACAUUUUUAUUCCUUACAUUUCAAUUAAGUCACAAGAACUCUAAAAGAGAAAAACCUUCUGCUCCUCCUUUUACCCGACUUACAAGCUUCCAUUUGCCAUCUUGGAAAACAACCUCUCCCUCUCACAGAACACUCCCAGCCAAUACUCCCCCUGCACACCACUAUCCCCACUCCCCAUCUUGUCUCAUAACAAAGCUAGCAACAUAUCCUAGGCUGCUCUGAUCUCAAGGGUUUUUCAAUAGGUUCAGUCUUGCUGGAAGGCAGUGCUUGCUAUCUGAUCUUUGCACUUCACAGGUGAAAUGGAGAAACAAAGAGUGGGCAAAGCUGACAACUGGGUCAGGAGAAGGAAGAGAAAGAGACAAAAACAGUCUGGUAUUCAAAGAGCCUAAACACUGUUUGGUUUGGCCUUCAGACAUGGCAGAUCAUCAACAGGAAAUGUCAGAUUAUUAAAGACUUCAAAUGGCAUCAUCAGACGACAGCCAUCAGACCCCCUGGCAAGUUUCCCAAGAGCACACUGAGGGGAAAAAAACAAUAUGAACCAAUAUGAAUUUCUAGAUUUCCUUUCUAAGAGAGAGAGUUUACUAGGCUAGCUGAUUUGGCAGGCUGUUAACAGAACUAAUGUGAUUGCUUUGGCAAGGGUAAGAGGAGGCCAAAGGAGAUCACUUAGCUUGACGCCAGCUUUGAAUUCCAGUGAUUAUCCUGUACACUACUGACCUGAUGUCGUUGAGGACAUGGAGGGUACACUGGGUCGGUGAUUGCAGAAACAUCACCAAAUGUAACCACCGCUAGCUGAAGUUAGCCAUUUAUAAGUAUAAGGGAAAAGCCCUUCCCGUCAGAGGCAGGCAAGAGCCAUCCCCAGACCUAUUAAUUUUGGGGUCAAGUUUCCAAAAAUAUGCAUUUAUCAUGCUUGUCACACCUGUGAGUGUGCCACUUGUUUUAUCCUCACAGUUAUCAAUUUGCUCUUAAAAUUUCUGGCUAAAAACCUUUCCUGUUAGGGAUAGAUCUUAUCUAAAACUCAGAGUCUGCUUAAUUAUUUGUUGCAUUAACAGAACUUUAGUUUCUUCUUGCCCAUCAGGGAAAGAAGAAAGACACUCACCUCUGGUAUUAGUUGCAUGGCACUCUGGUGUUUCAUCCCCUGGAAAGGAACAGGAAGUUGAAUGAAACUCUAUUGACUAGACUGUGUGGUUUUGUUUCCCUUGGCACACUAGAUCAGCACCUUCACUAAGCAGUUUCCACAGCCUCUGAAGUUUUGUUGCUAUUGAAACCCUUAGCUAAAUAUGAAGGAGCAAAGAGAAAUCAAUAUAGCCUGUCUUUACUAAGGUUCAUGGGCUACUCCCCAAACAACUUCCUCACACAUUGCAAAACACAAAUGCCAAUGAGGCAGCAGACACACGGAUUCAUUCACCAUUGAAGACCUUGCCUUUGCCUCCAAAAUCCCUGCCAGCAUCCUUUAUUCCUCUUGGCAUCUAUCCCUUUUAAUCACACCAUUCUCAGAAAGCCAGGCCAGGCAGAUUUCAUCAUUGAGAAAGCCCACAGGGAUCUCCUUGAGGCAGGCAGAAGGAAAGGGUGUUGUGACUAAGCAGAGACAUGGGGCCUUAAUUUCAUCCCAGGUGCCUGCAAUUUCUCACACGUAGUGAACUGUGCUGAGCCAGGAGGCACUGUAAAUCUCUAAAAGAGUCUUUAUUCUGUAGAGCUUCAGUUAUUGCUUUAAAAGGUAUCCUAGAUUCUGAACUACACUUGAAAAUACAGUUUGCUUCUCCAAGGGAAAUAUAUAUUCCUUAAUUUUAUACAUGCUCACCUCUUCACAGUACUAUAAAGACAGCUACCACUCUAAUUUUGCUCAAAUACUCACUACUUCUUAUUAGGUUACAUACAAUAGACGGUAAGUUAAGAAUCUAGGGCAUAUUAAAAUAGGUGAUUUAUUUAAUGGUGUGAGCCAUAUUCUUGUUCAUUUCAAUCAACAGUAUUUAUGUAACACACUACAUGUGGAAGUCACUAUGUGCAGUAAAAUGGAAGAUAAAUUAAGAAAUGCAUAAGUAAGUUUCGAGGAAUUAUUUAAAGAAAAAAAAUGUAUUUUUUCUUAAUAAGCCAAACUACUUAAGAUUAAAACUGGAAUUUUUUUUUUCAUGUGGCAGGAUUUAUAUGUUAGUAUAUAAGUCAAAACUUGUAGUUGUAACAGAAACAAUCUUUUAAUUAAUCUGAAAAGAAGUUAAAGCACACUGGAUAGCUCAUGCAACUUCCAGGAAAGCCAACUAGGUAGGUUACCAGGAAAGUAACUAGGUUUGGAGGCUAUGUAUGUAGUCAAAAUUGACACCACAAUGCAGAACUGUUCUGCCACCAUGAGUGGGUAUACCCUGGUACUGUCCUUAGAACUUCAGCUAUUAUUGGCCCUGGAAACUAAGAGUUCCCUCCUCCUGAAGCAAAUGAAUUGUAUGUGGCAUCUACUUCUUUCAAUCAUUAGAUUCUAAAUCAAGGUCUGGGGUGAGAAUACCUGAUUGACAGAUCCUAAUUCACAAGGACACAUCGUAGCAGCACAGAAGGCUGGAAAAGCCUGUGAACUGCACUUAUAUCUCUAAAUUUGGGAAUUCCCAUUGCCAAAAUAAAGAGAAAGAAUACAAUUACUCUACCAAAGAGUAGUGGCUUUGCUCCAAAAACCCAGAACCUCCACUACUAUUCUCCUAUCAGUGUUUGCUACAAACUCCAUGGUGAACUUUCUCUGUCAGAGGCAAUUCCCCAAGAAAAAGUAUCAUGAACAGCCAGAACCAGGUGAGAAAAAUUCUCUUGCUCUGAGCUUAACUAAAAUAAGCUACAGCUUACUUCUCUUGCUCUGAGCUUGACUGAAGUAGAUGCCACACCUUUGGCAACAAUCCAGUAAAGGGUCAGAGAAGUUCACACCAAAGAGGUAUGUAUCUCCAAAAUCUAAAAACAUUAAUCUAAACAUGGUACGUCUUUUUUAAUGGUAUGGGAAUAAGGUGCAGCAACUUACACUUCACUCUGAAAAUCCUAUACCACUGGAUCAGUAUUAUUGUUUUUUUUUCCUUUUGCCUAGGUUUCUAAUAGAGAUCAGCAUAGUAUUAUUAUGAAUCCUUUUUUUAUUUAAUAUUGAUACAUUAUCAUGGAUUAUUUUGCACUAAUGAUGUUUUUCAAUUAUUGCAUUAUUUUCUGCCUUGAUUACUGAGAUUCUUUUAGUAUCCACUUAAAUUGUGUGCCCUUGAAGAACACCUCACUAGUUCUGGGCCUACUUUAGUCCAUCCUCAGCAAUAGUCAACUUCCCUAUUUCCAAGAGUUUCUAUUAUAUUAGUAACUGACUAAUUGAUCAGCCUUCAAUUCUAGGAAAACAGUAUCUGUUUUACAGGGCAAAUUUUUAAAUACUAAAAUAAGUUCUAAAUCAAUGUGUUGGAGCAGUAAGAAGGUAGAAUAAAAAAUCAGUUUUCUGAUAGACAUGUUUCUUGAAUUAUCUAAGACUUCUCACUUCUGCUCUAGUUGCUUCAAGAGUUCACUAUUGGAAUGCCCUCUUAACACACCAAUACUCCAGAGCACUUCAAAAACUGAGGUUAGACUCUGAUGCCACUUGUGGGUCACCUGGAUAAACCCCUCAUCACCUUCGAGGCUUUUCCUAUAAUUGUGAAUUAUGAGCAUACUGGGCUUGUGUUAGUUUUUACCUUUUCAUUUUUUCUAAUGCAACAAAAUAUUUCUCCUAUUAUUGCAAUAAUAUUUUUCGACCAACAGUUGUUUUUUUUUUUUUUCCUAAUUCUCCAGGCAUAAUCACUGCUCACGAUUGCACUUUUCCCUUGACUAUUAAAGGAGUGUUCUAGAUGAUAUGUUCACUCUUUUCCUAUUCAUCAUAACUUUAAUCCAAAGUAUUUAUUAUCAUCACAUCCUUACAAUUUACCUUGAAGUUAAUAGUUGUACCUAAUUGCUAAGCAAUUAAAUCAAACCUGACGGAUCAUCAAGGAAAUUUAAGAAUUUGUUCUCCCUUUCCUUUAACUGAAGAAAAAGCUUCCUGCUGUGAUCAAGAAAAUGUGCCUGGUGGAGAAGGGCUACUGGCAGAUCAGCCUGGUGUGGCCCCGCUGGCCCUGAGGUCACUUCCGGCCUUGAGAACGCGGCCCCACCUGCCCUCUUAAGCGGAGGCCAAUGGCCAGCUGGCCGAUGCUUUAAGCAGUGGGCCCAUAAGCCAAAAUUUGACUUCUCUGACAAGGCUGCCCCCACCAAGGCAGCUGGGGAAGACACCUGGCUGAAAAAGGCCCCGGGAAGUGUUAGAGAUUCCCGGGUUCCUCCCCGGGUUUGACAACCCAGCCUGGGACAAGGUGGCCCACGCAAACUGACCCAUUCAGAGAUGACUGAGUCGCUGGCCCCCAGAGCACGGCGGCUGGGCGAGCAAUCAAGAACUGGGCCUGGGGCCUCAUAGGUCUCACCUGUGAGGCAGCGGGUGCUUUCAACGUCGGGGGACGUCACGCGGAUGGUGCGAACAUGUUUGCGACUGCGGCGGCGGGGGAGCAAGCAGAGAACGCGACUUCUCCGGGGGCGUCGGCGGUUCCCAACCAAGGUCCCGUCUGUGAGUCCGAGCCACCCCCUUCGCGGGGCGGGAGCUGGCGGGAGAGAGUGGGGAGCACCCCCAAGACCCAGCUGAGGUCCUCGGCUCCAUCCGAGGUGGACUCCCUGGAGCAGUUUGCAACUCCCUUGGUCAAGAAGUAGGCCUUAAGAAGACAGUCUUUAUACUUGCAGUUCGACAGGCUCCGGAAAGGCAGCGUCAAAGAUGGCGCCUCCGCCCCUGCAACCCGCCACGCCCAAAGCUGAUGCACCUUUCUCAGGAGGCCUGCCUGGCGCCAAGGGGCUGGAGUCCUGGGGUUGGUGCCACAAAAUAAACGCUGCUGGAAGAAAAAAAAAAAAAGAAAAGAAAAGAAACUGAUGCUGAAGCGCAGGAGCAAGUGUGGGGUGCUCCACAUGAAAAGCCUGGAGAUGCAGAAGAUCAUGGCGGGACUUGAGGCAUUAAUGCCCUAGGCGGUGGAGGAGACUCUUGAAACAAAAGGAACUUGCAGAAGCUUUGAUCCAGAAGGUUCUUAACUCUAUGGGAAAAUCAUUCCCUGACCUCUUCACGCAGUGUGAGAAAUGAAGGUGAGAGGACUAGGGCACAAAUGAGACUGGCUACAGACACGUGCUGAGGUUUCCAUAGUAACAGAAGAUGGUACCAGGUGCUCAAGGCCCAAAAAGGGCCACUCAGGCUGGCAAUGGCCUGAGUCCUGAGCAAGGCCCCAGUGUGGCCUUGGACAUCCGGGCGAGCCUGGGGAAUGAGUGCAUGAGCAUCCAAGCAGAGAAGACCACUGAGCAGAAGACUAAAGAAAAUGAUGGAAGAACUGGAAUCUGCACCAGCCUCAUCUCCAGGGUGGACACGCUCUAAACUGUAAGUUACUUACCAGAUCCUUCCCCCGCUUCUGUCUGUCUGAGUCGGUUUGACUCUGUUAGAAGGUCUCAUGUUCUUUCUUCAGUCUUCACCUCAACUCCUUUUUAGACUAGAUAGCUUUAAAAAGAAGACUAAACAAAGUU
rnacentral:lncRNA from 1 species